rnacentral:rRNA from 1 species
GAUGAACGCUGGCGGCGUGCUUAACACAUGCAAGUCGAACGGAAAGGCCAGUGCUUGCACUGGUACUCGAGUGGCGAACGGGUGAGUAACACGUGGGUGAUCUGCCCUGUACUUCGGGAUAAGCUUGGGAAACUGGGUCUAAUACCGGAUAGGACAACUUUUUGGAUAUUGUUGUGGAAAGCUUUUGCGGUAUGGGAUGAGCUCGCGGCCUAUCAGCUUGUUGGUGGGGUAAUGGCCUACCAAGGCGUCGACGGGUAGCCGGCCUGAGAGGGUGUACGGCCACAUUGGGACAGUGAUACGGCCCAGACUCCUACGGGAGGCAGCAGUGGGGAAUAUUGCACAAAGGGCGCGAGCCUGAUGCAGCGACGCCGCGUGGGGGAUGAAGGCCUUCGGGUUGUAAACUCCUUUCGCUAGGGACGAAGCUUUUUUGUGACGGUACCUGGAGAAGAAGCACCGGCUAACUACGUG